GCAGCCCAUUCACCCGGCUGCCUGCCGGAGCCUCGACCCAGACACCUUUGAUGGCUGCCCUUUGCUCCGUCUGGUCCGGGUGGACAAAUGAGGGAAAUUGAUGCCCCAAAUGACAGAGGCAGCCUGGUUACUAUGGUUCCCCUGAGCCAAUGGAUCUCCAGUGGCCUCCCAGUGGUGGCCAGAGCUUGAGAGUCUCUCACAGUCAAAUGGAGAAGCCACAACCUUUGAGCAGGGACCAGGCCAAGAUCUGCCCUCCAGCAAGUUCACCUGUUUGCAUCAGGAGACAGGAAGGUAUUCCUCACCUCCUCCUGGAUGCCUUCCAAACUUCCUAGACGGCCUUAGAACUGCCUCCUUCAGAACUCCGACCUCUCCUGUUGUCAGGGCCUCACACAAAGGCCUCGCCAUGUGGAUGGACCCUAACCAUCUGCUCUGUGUGGGGCACUGAACUGGGCAAAACCCAGGGGCUUUGAAGACCCCUGAAGCUCCAAUAGCUGCCCUCAGGGAUCUUAUGGCUGGCUACAGUUGGGGUGCCUGCUGGUUCAUAAAGGGACUGAAGUACCCAACUGCAGGGCAUGAAGUCUUGUCCAGGGCAUUCAUGCCACAGCCUGGGUCCUGCCGCAGUCUCCCUCCUGACUUGUAGUUUCCUGAUGUGCCAGGCUCGCCCAGACCUCUUAGUCUAUACAGAUCCUGUUCCCUCUGCCUGGGACUCCCUUCCCUUUCUCUUCUGCCUGGCAAAGGCCACUGUCUUCUAGAUGAUAGAAAUGUGAGUAAUUUUUACAUUCAUUUUUAUAUUGUUUUCAAAUCACUGGGCAUAUAUUAUUUGUCUAAUUAGAGAGGAAGAUAAUACCCAUUUUGUUUUGAGAAAUAAAUACUUUGACUUAAAAAAAAUGACAAUUCAUUACUUGGAGAGGCAACACCUUAAGUCAUUAUGUGUCUAAUUUUUCAGAUCAGGGAGUUUUGAAAAGGAUCCCCUGGAGAGGAUGGAAGAAAUGCAGGUUCCCUGGCUCAGGUGGCCCAAGGGUGGCCCAGCAGCCCCAGUGGUUCCGAGGGCAGCCAGGCCUUCGACUCCAGACCUCGGAGAUGAGCUCCAGGAGCUGCCAGAGUGGUGGGAAGGGAAGAGGGCAAGCUAAUAAUGCUUUGCCACCCUGGCCUGCUGUUCCUGACACUCCCUCAUGGGGCAGGGCCAAGAUGAGAGGUUCCCAGUUCCUUUAAGUGGGAGCCGCCACAUGCCUAGCCGUGUCUAAUAGACACUGGGGAAACGGCAAGGAAGGCUGCCUUGAUGGCAGGGUGCGCCCAAUCUUUGGGCUUGGAUGAGGCUUGGAGAGGUCAUUCAGUCCAUUCUUCUGCCUCUAGGCAGCCCUGGCAUGAUUCCAGUUGGGCCUUUAUCUUGUUCUGAGGACUCCCAGUUUCCCUCCUCGGCCAAUCAUUCUCAUGCCUUAACAUUUCUAGCCAGGAAGUACUUCCUCAUGUCUAAUCCAAACUCUCUCCGCCAUGGGAUGCCAUCCUAUGGCUCUUGUGAGUCUGGCUAGAGACAGGAAAAUGCCUCUUGCUUCCCUGCCUCCUCCUAGGUCGGGAGCCCUAGAGCCUUGAAUCAGGACCAAAGUCCUGUCUGUGUGACCCUAAGCAAAUCACUACUACUCUUUGGGCUUUGGUUUCCUCACCUGUAAAAUGGGGCCAAUGAUAUCCAUAGUGUAGGAACCAAGAGGACUGAAUGAGACUGAAUGCAAAUGUGUGGAAGAGGCAUACAGCUUGCUGCUAACGUGAGGCUAUAAUUAUUAUUAUUAAUAAUAAUAACCACCAUCCUGGCUGAACCAUUGUACAAAAUCGUUUCCAUUGUGAAGGUACACAGGGUAGUUUUAGGUGAUACAAGAACAGGUAUUUUAAAUGAAAAUUUAAUGUGUGUUAGAAAAAACCCCGGCACAUCAAAUCCAGGAUUUCACAAAUAUUUAACAAGGGCAAGUUAAGACAAAAACUGAACAUGGUUUUAAAGAAAACUAUUAAGUAAACGAUGCUCCGGGUAGCACAGGGUUAGGGCAGAAAUUGUAAAGGUGGUUUGGAAAAUGCCGGCUGAGUGGAGACAGACGGGAUGUGGGAGGAGGAGGUUGGUUCUUCAGAGUGGGCAAGAGAGGCUGAGCUGGGGAGGGAAGUCCCCAGGGACGGGAGGAGACACCUGUUGAGCGGCUGUUGAGCAUCCUGCCCACAGAUGCAGCCCUCUCUGGUUCUGGAACAGUUUGUCUUCCCCAGAGCUGGGUUGUUACAAAUUCCAGCAAGGCUGGUGGGCAGGCAGGGUUGGGAUUUCCUGCCCACAAUUAUGGUCCCCAAGAGCUCAGAGCCCUCUCUGCAUGCAGCUUUCCCCUCUGGGGAGAACUGAACAAUACCAACCCCACCCUGGAAUCCCUGCUGCAGCAUCGCCCACCCAUGGUUGCGAGCCUGUGGUGUGGAACUCAGCCAGUGACUGGGAAACCACAGCUUCCCAAACAGAUCCCCUCUUCCACGCUUAACGUGGGGCUGGCCAAAGAGGCCCUGGCAGAGAAGGUCCUCUGAGACCCACUGUGUGCCGGGUCCCUCUCUGAGCACCAGGGACACAGAGUGAGCAAAAGAGGCCCCUGCCUUUCAGGAGCUCACAGCCAAGCCAGGGAGACCCACCUCUCCAGAAGUUUUGGGAGAAGCUCCAGGCCCCUCGUUUAUCUUCCAUCCCCCAAACCUAGAACUGAGCAUUAUUAUGCUUCCUCUUGAGCUGGGGUUCCUCAAAGCCUGGGAUCUGUAGACAAGUUCUCUGGAGUUUGAGAGCUCUCUGUGAGACUAUACAAUGUUUGUGUUUUCAUUUGGAAAUAAUAUAAAAAAUGAAUAUAAACAUAUUCUAUAUCAUCUGGAUGCCUGGCUCACAGCCGAUUAUGGAAUCACAAAGUUUUAAUGUCUACAUUUGCACUGACGUUUAUAGAAAGCAGUUAACUUUUUUUUUUUUUUAAGCGGAAGCUACAUACAGUAGAAUAUACAAAGCUUAAGUAUAGAGCUGGAUGAAUUUUCACAAAGAACACAUCUGUGAAAUCAACACUCAGAUCAAGAAACACAAUAUUAUUACUGCCCUCUGGACACCCUCCUUAAAAUCUUCCACAUCCCCCCAGAGGUAACCACUAUCCUGACUUCUCCGAACUUGAUAUAAGUGGGUCAUAUAGGAUGACUCUUUCUUGACCCUGACCUCUUUCUCUCACCCUGUGAAUUUCAUCCCUGUUGUUGGCCUGUAGCCAUAGUUGACAAUGGUUUUAGCUUCUAAUCCAACAUUUCUCAAAGAGCGAUUUUCAGCAGUGGUUCUAAGGGGUCUAUGAAUCCACCAUUUGGAACAAAGCAAAUGUGGGUGGCUGCUGACUCAUAAAGAGAUUAAAACACCCAACUGCAGGGCAUGCAGCCUUGUCCUGUGCGUUCACUCCACAGCCUAGGUCCUGCUGCAGUCUCCCUCUUGACCUGUAGCUUCCCUGAUGUGCCAGGCUCGCCAGGCCUCUUGGUCUUUGCAGAUGCUCUUCCCUCUGCCUGGCACUCCCUUCCUUUGCUCGUCUGCCUGGCAAAGACCAGGCAUGUCUUGUGGCCUCUGAAAGGCUACUUCCUCUGGGAGGUCACCCCUGGCUUUGCUGGGCAGGUUCAGGCACCCCUUCUCUUGUGAGCCCUCUGUGUUCUGCCCAUGUUCUCCCUGCAGCAUUUACCACGCUGUGCGGUCGUUGCAGGUCUGUUUCCUAGUUAGGCUGUGGAUUCUUCUUUUUUAUUGAAGUAUAAUUGAUUUACAACAUUGUCUUAGUUUCUGA